UCCGCGCUGGACUGUGUACAAGUUUCCUGGAUACGGAACAUCAUAGAGGGUGAGAAUCCCGUCCUUGACACAGACUCCCAGUGCUAUGUGAUGCGCUCUCGACGAGUCGAGUUGUUUGGGAUUGCAGCUCAAAAUGGGAGGUAAAUUCCUUCUAAAGCUAAAUAUUGGCGAGAGACCGAUAGCGAACAAGUACCGUGAGGGAAAGAUGAAAAGCACUUUGGAAAGAGAGUUAAACAGUACGUGAAAUUGUUAAAAGGGAAACGAUUGAAGUCAGUCGCGUUCGUUUGGACUCAGCUUAGCCUCGGUUAGGUGCAUUUCCUUAUGAACGGGCCAACGUCCAUGUUGCCUGCUGGAAAAGGGGUAGAGAAAUGUGGCUUCUUCGGGAGUGUUAUAGUCUCUAUUCGUAUACAGUAUAGUGAUAUGGAGUGGUACAGCAUGCUUCGGCGGUGCUUGUGUUGGCAUAAUGGCUUUAAACGACCCGUCUUGAAACACGGACCAAGGAGUCUAACAUGUCUGCGAGUGUUUGGGUGGUAAACCCGAGCGCGGAAUGAAAGUGAUAGUUGGGAAAUUCGCAAGAAUGGCACCGACGCCCCGAGCUGACCUUCUGUGACGCAUCGGAGGUAGAGCAUAUAUGUUGGGACCCGAAAGAUGGUGAACUAUGCCUGCAUAGGGCGAAGCCAGAGG
rnacentral:rRNA from 1 species